CCAUAGCCAUGUUGCGAAUAAUAGGGAAGAUUUGAAAGCAAAGUCUCAUCAACAUCAAAAACCCAUACAUCUUUUCCAUCUGCGCCCAAUUUCGUGCUUUCUGCAUAGGCUCCAGCUUCACUUGAAACUCUAUCAAUGUCCAACUUAUAAGCCCCGCCAUUAAUAUAUUGCCUCACGUAAUCAGCACAUUCCUUUAAUUUCAUGCUUUCUGCAUAGGCUCCAGCUUCACUUGAAACUCUAUCAAUCUCCAUCUUAUAAGCCCCACCAUUAAUGUGUUGCCGCACGUAAUCAGCACAUUCCUCUGGAAUAGUCUUCCAUGG
rnacentral:lncRNA from 1 species